AUAGGCGAGGGGCGCUGGAAUGUUCCCUCGUCGAAAGCUCCGGCGCUCGAGGAUGGGACUGCGGCCUAUCAGGCUGUUGGUGGUGUAACGGACCACCAAACCUACAACGGGUACGGGCGAUGGGAGUCGGAGCCCGGAGAUGGGGACUGAGACAAGGCCCCAGGCCCUACGGGGCGCAGCAGGCGCGAAAACUCCGCAAUGCGCGAAAGCGUGACGGGGGGAUCCCAAGUGCCGCUGAUCUUUGAUCGGCGGCUUUUCGGGAGUGUACGAAGCUUCCGGAAUAAGAGCUGGGUAAGUCUGGUGCCAGCCGCCGCGGUAACACCAGCAGCUCAAGUGGUGGUCGCGAUUAUUGGGCCUAAAGCACUCGUAGCCGGGUUUGCAAGUCCCUUGUGAAAUCGGAUCGCCUAACGGUUCGGCUUGCAAGGGAUACUGCUCGCCUUGGGGUCGGGAGACGUCGGAAGAAUUCCGAGGGUAGCGGUGAAAUGCUGUAAUCCUUGGAGGACUACCAGUAGCGAAGGCGUCCGACGAGAACGAACCCGACGGUGAGGGGUGAAGGCUAGGGGAGCGA
rnacentral:rRNA from 1 species